AUGGUUGCUCUGGCGUGCUGCUGGAAGAAAAGGAGGGAGGACGAGGGAGAGGGAGAGAGAAAACUGGGAGGAAGGAGAGAAACGAGGGUAGGCACGGGCUCCCAGGGGGAGAUGGACGAGGACGAGGACGGUCUGGUGCGCUGCUGGUGCAGGGAGGGCAGUGACUCAUUUCCAGUGAUCGUCGCGGGUGAAAAUGAGGGUGCCCUGCUGCAUCACUUGCUCCUCGCGGCAGACAGGUACAACCUCCCAACACUUCGGGAGAUGUGCGAGAAGAAGCUUCGUGAGCACAUAGACGUGAGCACGGUGACCUCCAUACUAGGGCUUGCCGAGCAGCAUGGCUGUGACGGGCUGAAGAAGGCGUGUUGCAAGUUCCUCCGGUGUCCGGACAACCUGAGGGCAGUGGUGUCCACGAAUGGCUUUGAUGAUUUCUGCAGGAGCUGCCCCACUCUUAUGAAGGACAUGAUCCUUGGCAUUCUACCGGUGUUGAAAGACAUUCUACAGGUACUACAAGACCGACACUGCUGCUGCCCAGUUCGACUACGGAGUUGA
rnacentral:rRNA from 1 species